AAGCAGGCAUGCAAGUGUCCCCACAGGUAAGGAUAGGAUUGAAGUGGUGACCAGUGGACCUGGGCCCAUUUCUCAAGCAUGCAUUUGAUUUCUUUACUCAGGUGCAGCUUUCCUGGGAGGCAUGGCACCUGCUGGAAGGAAGAUAGUCGAUUCUCCUGAGUAAGGAAGGCCACGCAGUUCUGGUUUUGGUGUGGCCUGGUAUCCACAGUGCACCCUGUGCUGGUGGGUGGCUCAGGACGGUGGCGUUGGUAUGGAAGGAAGGCCAGUGACCACAAGGGACGAUCUUGAUCUUGGGAGAUUUUUGGAGAUGGUGAAGUGCCUGUAAACAUGUGUGUCAUGGUUUCCUUCAGGCUGGUGGACACCUCAGGACAGUGGCAUGGGCAUGCAAAGAAAGACAGAGGCUGCAGGGAUGAACUUCAUCUUGGGGGAUCUCUGGAGUUGGUAGGGAACCCCUGGACACAUGUGGCAUGGGCUCCUUCUGGUGCUGGUGGAUCCCUUUAUAUGGUGGACGUGAUGAAUUGGCCAGGCCCAUGUUGGUGA
rnacentral:lncRNA from 1 species